GACGAACGCUGGCGGCGUGCCUAAUACAUGCAAGUAGGACGCAGUUGCGAACGGGUGAGUAACGCGUAGGUAACUACCUAUUAGAGGGGGAUAACUAUUGGAAACGAUAGCUAAUACCGCAUACUAGUAGAUGGACCUGCGUUGUAUUAGCGAGUUGGUAGGGUAAUGGCCUACCUAGGCAACGAUACAUAGCCGAGCUGGACGGGUGUACGGCCACACGGGGAAUGAGGAAAUGCCCAGACGCCUACGGGAGGCAGCAGUAGGUAAUCUUCGGCAAUGGGGGGAACCCUGACCGAGCAACGCCGCGUGAGUGAAGAAGGUUUUCGGGUCGUAAAGCUCUGUUGUUAAGGAAGCGGUACUUAACCAGAAAGGGACGGCUAACUACGUGCCAGCCGCCGCGGUAAUAC
rnacentral:rRNA from 1 species